rnacentral:lncRNA from 1 species
AAGGCGGUGACAUCAGCAAAAGGGAGCCAACUCCUUCCCCGUCUGCCAUUUUGUACUCUUGGCCUAACGUUGACUCAAAACAGCAACUUGGAGCCUUCCCUGACCUGUUGGUAAAAUAUGACUUUGUUUUAUUAUUAAAAAAAUAGAAAGUAGAAAAUUAAAUUCAUUAGCUCCAAUUACUAAAUGAUUCAUCUGGCUGGCUAAUGAAGCUGAGCAUUAUGCUAACAAGAUAAAGGCAAGAAUAACAUGUGGGGAUGUGCGGCUGCAGGCACGCUGGGCCUGUUCUACUGGAAACGCAAGGCUGAGGAGCUCUGUGCCUUGAGAUGGAUGGCAAGAUACAAAAUCAAAAAGGUGUUUUAAUCCUGAGGAAGAAUGUGAGUCUGGGAAAGUUUUGGAUCACCGAGGUGCAGCCAUACCUUCCACAGCCAUCACUGUUGCUUACAACUCACAUGCCAAGAAUUGCAAGAAGAAGAUGGUGAUCAGGAGGCAUGACUUGUAACUACUUGGUUAGUGUAAAGCAGAGAGGAGAAUUAGGAGAGGCAGAUGGCAGAGAGGUCUGCCAUGGAAGAUUCAUGGAUGACAGGAGAGGCUGUGUUCCAGAAUGCAAGGUGAACAGGCUUUACACACACAGUUUGGGAUGCCUCUUGGGUAC